rfam:Triticum aestivum genome assembly, contig: Triticum_aestivum_CS42_TGACv1_scaffold_131865_2BL
GUGCUACUCCCUCCGUCCGGAAAUACUUGUCGGAGAAAUGCAUAAAAAUAAAUGUAUCUAAAACUAAAAUACAUAUAGAUAUAUCAAUUCCUCCGACAAGUAUUUCCGGACGGAGGGAGUAUGUU